rnacentral:lncRNA from 1 species
GCCAAUACCAGAGAUGAGGACGUUACCUCUGGUUUAGGUAGGAAAAGACUAAUUUUGUUUUGAAAUUUGAAGAGUGGAGUUGUGAGACCAGGAUUGAAUCCUCCAAACCUCACUUAACUAGUCUCAGGCAGUCAUGCCAUUUAACCUUUCUUAGCUUGUGUUUGACUAAAACAUGCUGACAACUCAUGGAGUCGAUAGGAUUAAGUGAAGUGAUAUACUAGAUUAAGUUUUGUGAAGUAUUACAGAGAAGUUGCUUUUGACAUGAUGGGGAUAUACAUGUUCAAAAUUGGUAACUGGAGUAUAAGAGAGAC